rnacentral:rRNA from 1 species
UACGAAGGGGGCUAGCGUUGUUCGGAAUUACUGGGCGUAAAGCGUGCGCAGGCGGCCUUCCAAGUCAGGGGUGAAAGCCCAGAGCUCAACUCUGGAAUUGCCUUUGAGACUGUGUGGCUUGAGUACGGGAGAGGUGAGUGGAAUUCCCAGUGUAGAGGUGAAAUUCGUAGAUAUUGGGAAGAACACCGGUGGCGAAGGCGGCUCACUGGCCCGAAACUGACGCUCAUGCACGACAGCGUGGGGAUCAAACAGG